rnacentral:rRNA from 1 species
UACGAAGGGGGCUAGCGUUGCUCGGAAUCACUGGGCGUAAAGCGCACGUAGGCGGUUUGUCGCGUCUGCUGUGAAAACUGGAGGCUCAACCUCCAGCCUGCAGUGGGUACGGGCAAACUAGAGUGCGGUAGGGGAGAUUGGAAUUCCUGGUGUAGCGGUGGAAUGCGCAGAUAUCAGGAGGAACACCGGUGGCGAAGGCGGGUCUCUGGGCCGAAACUGACGCUGAGGAGCGAAAGCGUGGGGAGCAAACAGG